rnacentral:rRNA from 1 species
CCUACGGGAGGCAGCAGUGAGGAAUAUUGGUCAAUGGACGAGAGUCUGAACCAGCCAAGUAGCGUGAAGGAUGACUGCCCUAUGGGUUGUAAACUUCUUUUAUAAAGGAAUAAAACGAGGCACGUGUGCCUUUUUGCAUGUACUUUAUGAAUAAGGAUCGGCUAACUCCGUGCCAGCAGCCGCGGUAAUACGGAGGAUCCGAGCGUUAUCCGGUUUUAUUGGGUUUAAAGGGAGCGUAGAUGGGUUGUUAAGUCAGUUGUGAAAGUUUGCGGCUCAACCGUAAAAUUGCAAUUGAUACUGGCAGUCGUGAGUACAGUUGAGGUAGGCGGAAUUCGUGGUGUAGCGGUGAAAUGCUUAGAUAUCACGAAGAACCCCGAUUGCGAAGGCAGCUUACUAAACUGUGACUGACAUUGAUGCUCGAAAGUGUGGGUAUCAAACAGGAUUAGAUACCCUAGUAGUC